rnacentral:lncRNA from 1 species
GGGAGGUAUUGGUGUGACACCUCACACCAGCAAAGGGGAUGCCCAAGGAGGGCCCACGACUUGGAGAAGAGGGGCGGCAAGGAGGAGGACACGCCAUGGGGAGGGGCACCCACUAGCUCUCAUGCCUCUCUCUCUCUCUCUCUCUUUUUGCUUUGAUUGCUAUGCAUCCAUAGGUAGAGACCCUCUCUAUUUUUAUAGAUGAUUCUCAUAACCCAAUAAGAAUGAGACUCUUAAUACAAACAAGCUUUGAAUCAGUCCAUAACUUAUCAAAGAAGGACUCCUACAUU